rnacentral:rRNA from 1 species
UGCUUCACGUCUACACAUGAGAAGUUAAUCCUGCCCAGUGACCCAAGGGUUAAACGGCCGCGGUACCCUGACCGUGCUAAGGUAGCAUAAUAAAUCGCCCUUUAAUUGUGGGCUUGUAUGAACGGACAAACGAAGGCUUGACUGUCUCUAUUAUAAAAAUAAAAAUUGGCCUUUAGGUGAAAAGACCUAAAUUAGAUUAGAGGACAAAAAGACCCCGUAGAGCUUAGUACUUUUUUAAACCCUAUUUUUGCGAGAUACUCAAAAAACUAUUUUAACAGGAAGUUCUUGGCUGGGGCGGCUAUGGAGCAAAUAUCCUCCACAAACAAUAAAAGAUUCAACAAAUCUUAUUUUAUGAUCCUAAAUUAGAUCAAAGAAAACAGCUACCUCGGGGAUAACAGAUUAAUCCCUUUUGAGAGUCCACAUUGACAAAGGGUUUUGACACCUCGAUGUUGGCUUAGGGUCACCAAGGGGUCAGCAGCAGCCCCUAAUGGUAGGUUUGUUCAACCUUUAAAACCCUACGA